CAUUGUGGUUUAAUUUCGAUUGAUACGCGAGGAACCUUUACCUGGGCUUAAAUGGGAGUGACAGCUGUCGAAAGAUGGUUUUCUUCGGACACUCUUCAAGGUGCUGCAUGGUUGUCGUCAGCUCGUGCCGUGAGGUGUCGGGUUAAGUCCCAUAACGAGCGCAACCCUUACCGUUAGUUACCAUCAGGUUAAGCUGGGGACUCUAGCGGGACUGCCACCGUAAGGUGAGAGGAAGUGGGGAUGACGUCAAAUCAGCACGGCCCUUAUGUCCAGGGCUACACACGUGUUACAAUGGCCAGUACAAAGGGCAGCUACCGGGUGACCGGAUGCUAAUCUCUAAAGCUGGUCUCAGUUCGGAUCGAAGUCUGCAACCCGACUUCGUGAAGCUGGAUUCGCUAGUAAUCGCGCAUCAGCCAUGGCGCGGCGAAUACGUUCCCGGGCCUU
rnacentral:rRNA from 1 species